rnacentral:rRNA from 1 species
CAUGGCUCAGGAUGAACGCUAGCUACAGGCUUAACACAUGCAAGUCGAGGGGCAGCAUGGUCUUAGCUUGCUAAGGCCGAUGGCGACCGGCGCACGGGUGAGUAACACGUAUCCAACCUGCCGUCUACUCUUGGACAGCCUUCUGAAAGGAAGAUUAAUACAAGAUGGCAUCAUGAGUCCACAUGUUCACAUGAUUAAAGGUAUUCCGGUAGACGAUGGGGAUGCGUUCCAUUAGAUAGUAGGCGGGGUAACGGCCCACCUAGUCUUCGAUGGAUAGGGGUUCUGAGAGGAAGGUCCCCCACAUUGGAACUGAGACACGGUUCAAACUCCUACGGGAGGCAGCAGUGAGGAAUAUUGGUCAAUGGGCGAGAGCCUGAACCAGCCAAGUAGCGUGAAGGAUGACUGCCCUAUGGGUUGUAAACUUCUUUUAUAAAGGAAUAAAGUCGGGUAUGCAUACCCGUUUGCAUGUACUUUAUGAAUAAGGAUCGGCUAACUCCGUGCCAGCAGCCGCGGUAAUACGGAGGAUCCGAGCGUUAUCCGGAUUUAUUGGGUUUAAAGGGAGCGUAGAUGGAUGUUUAAGUCAGUUGUGAAAGUUUGCGGCUCAACCGUAAAAUUGCAGUUGAUACUGGAUAUCUUGAGUGCAGUUGAGGCAGGCGGAAUUCGUGGUGUAGCGGUGAAAUGCUUAGAUAUCACGAAGAACUCCGAUUGCGAAGGCAGCCUGCUAAGCUGCAACUGACAUUGAGGCUCGAAAGUGUGGGUAUCAAACAGGAUUAGAUACCCUGGUAGUCCACACGGUAAACGAUGAAUACUCGCUGUUUGCGAUAUACUGCAAGCGGCCAAGCGAAAGCGUUAAGUAUCCCACCUGGGGAGUACGCCGGCAACGGUGAAACUCAAAGGAAUUGACGGGGGCCCGCACAAGCGGAGGAACAUGUGGUUUAAUUCGAUGAUACGCGAGGAACCUUACCCGGGCUUAAAUUGCAGAUGAAUUACGGUGAAAGCCGUAAGCCGCAAGGCAUCUGUGAAGGUGCUGCAUGGUUGUCGUCAGCUCGUGCCGUGAGGUGUCGGCUUAAGUGCCAUAACGAGCGCAACCCUUGUUGUCAGUUACUAACAGGUUCUGCUGAGGACUCUGACAAGACUGCCAUCGUAAGAUGUGAGGAAGGUGGGGAUGACGUCAAAUCAGCACGGCCCUUACGUCCGGGGCUACACACGUGUUACAAUGGGGGGUACAGAGGGCCGCUACCACGCGAGUGGAUGCCAAUCCCAAAAACCUCUCUCAGUUCGGACUGGAGUCUGCAACCCGACUCCACGAAGCUGGAUUCGCUAGUAAUCGCGCAUCAGCCACGGCGCGGUGAAUACGUUCCCGGGCCUUGUACACACCGCCCGUCAAGCCAUGGGAGCCGGGGGUACCUGAAGUGCGUAACCGCGAGGAGCGCCCUAGGGUAAAACUGGUGA